rnacentral:rRNA from 1 species
GGCGACCGGCAAACGGGUGCGGAACACGUACGCAACCUUCCUUUAAGCGGGGAAUAGCCGGGAAACCGGAUUAAUACCCCAUAAUAUAUUGAGAAAGCAUUUUCUUAUUAUUAAAGAUUUAUCACUUAAAGAUGGGCGUGCGCCUGAUUAGGCAGUUGGCGGGAUAACGGCCCACCAAACCUACGAUCAGUAACUGGCGUGAGAGCGCGACCAGUCACACGGGCACUGAGACACGGGCCCG